CGGAACGAGUUAACUGACCCUUCGGGUGACGUUAACGGCGUCGAGCGGCGGACGGGUGAGUAAUGCCUGGGAAUUGCCCUGAUGUGGGGGAUAACCAUUGGAAACGAUGGCUAAUACCGCAUAAUGCCUUCGGGCCAAAGAGGGGGACCUUCGGGCCUCUCGCGUCAGGAUAUGCCCAGGUGGGAUUAGCUAGUUGGUGAGGUAAUGGCUCACCAAGGCGACGAUCCCUAGCUGGUCUGAGAGGAUGAUCAGCCACACUGGAACUGAGACACGGUCCAGACUCCUACGGGAGGCAGCAGUGGGGAAUAUUGCACAAUGGGCGCAAGCCUGAUGCAGCCAUGCCGCGUGUGUGAAGAAAGCCUUCGGGUUGUAAAGCACUUUCAGCAGUGAGGAAGGCGGGGACGUUAAUAGCGUGCUCGCUUGACGUUAGCUGCAGAAGAAACACCGGCUAACUCCGUGCCAGCAGCCGCGGUAAUACGGAGGGUGCGAGCGUUAAUCGGAAUUACUGGGCGUAAAGCGCAUGCAGGUGGUUCGUUAAGUCAGAUGUGAAAGCCCGGGGGCUCAACCUCGGAACUGCAUUUGAAACUGGGCGGACUAAAAGUACUGUAGAGGGGGGG
rnacentral:rRNA from 1 species